rnacentral:lncRNA from 1 species
UGAUUGGAUUAAGUUUUCAAUCCUACUAGACUGAAUCUAGCUUAUACUCUAUGUAACAUUGGAAAUGUAUUGAGGACCAAAGUGAAGAGACAUGCAUCGGGUUAGAAUUCAAAGAGAAACAACAUUACACUAUAAGUAUAUACAACUAUAUAUCAUAUAUAGGUACAAAGAAUUGAUCUAGAUUCUUGCUGCUAAGAUUGAUGUCUUGAUCUAUUGGUGCAAAACUAUUAGUGUAACAUUUAAAUUAGGAAUCUGCAUCCUUAGGCUUAAUUAAUAAUGUUUAAAAUUCGUAAUGACCAAAAUCUAUAUAUGUUUUGUAGAUUUUAUACACACAGAUCAUGUGAUCAAUAAAGUCAAUAAGUGAAUAUUUUGAAACAAAUGAUGCAUUUAAACUAGACGACAAAGAAAAAUCAUAUAGCAUUGAAGAAUAAUAUAGAUAAUUUAAAUUGAAGUUUCAUAUGAAAUAGAUGAAACAACGAACAAUAUACUUUUAUACCAAG